rnacentral:RNase_P_RNA from 1 species
GAGGAAAGUCCGGGCUCUAGAAAGGUAAAAAUUGCUGGGUAAUACCCAGUGCGUAUGUUGUAGUUACUUUGUAAUUAAAAUACAAAGGUUAGAUCGUAAAUAUUUGAUCGAUUACUACAUUUUACGUGAGGAAAGUGCCACAGAAAGAUACCGCCAAAAUAAAGGUAAGGGUGCAAAAGUUUGGUAACAACAAAUAUCUAAAAUUGAAAAAUUUUAGUAUAGUAAACCCCAUUUUAGAGCAAGGUUAAAAGAAUAAAAUUUUACCUUUUAUUUAUUCUAUUUAAAAAUACCGCUUAAAAUGUUUGGAAACAAACAUUUUAGACAGAUAAUCACAAUUUUAAUACUCAUUAUUAAAAUAACAAAACCCGGCUUAU